CCACCUCUGUGGUGUUAAAGGGGUUAAUAACUAUCCCUUCUAUCACUUACCUGGGUCCAACACCAAUAUCCCUUGGCGCUGGCUCAGCUCCGCCCACGCUCCUCCUCUGCCGCGGGAGACCUAAUGCGCAUGCGCAGCAAUUAGUAUUUCCCCAUAGGAAAGCAUUAUUCAGUGCUUUCCUAUGGGGGAUUCCGGUGACGCUGGAGGUCCUCAUGCAUAGCAUGAGGGCGUCCAGUGUCGUUUAUGCGACGAAAAGUUGCCUUCAAGCCCGAAAGUCCCUCUAGUGGCUGUCUGGUAGGAGGAGUUAACCCGAGCAGGUAAUUAUUGCAGUUUAUAAAAACUACAAUAAUUACCACUCUAGGGUUAAGGGUGAUGGGAGUUUGCACCCAGACCACUUCAAUGAGCUGAAGUGGUCUGGGUGCUUACAGUGUCCCUUUAAAUUCUCUGGAUUUGCUCCAGAUUUGAGCCAUCCGGUGACAUUUCAACUGGCUGAAAUCCGCACAUAAUUCAGGCCUGUUUCCAAAUUGCAUGAACAAUGUCUGAAUUUUGAAGUCUGAAUGGUCCUGUACAGCAGCAAAUGGUUUUGCCCCAUUGGGUACGGGGCUAUUGGUACUUUAGUGCAUAACCCUAUUUGCAGUGGCAGAACUCAUUUAGAGAGUGUCCUGGUGAAGGGAAGUUGUGGGCCCACUUCUUGUGCAAGAGUGGUUAAAAGGUAGAUCCCAAUUUGUCGUACAUCUCCAAUGAUGCUAUACCAGCUAGGAAUCUACAAUUUCCCCAUCCUUGCAGGGUUUGUAUUUGUAAGCAUGCUUCUGCAUAGGUUAUAUGUGUGCAUGUAGCGGUGUAUUUGUAUGUACUGUUGCCAUUGCAUUGCAGUGGUGUACUUGUGUGUAGUGUUUGUGUUAAAUGCAGGGGUCUGUUUGUACGUAGUGUUGACUUUCAAAUGCAGGUAUGCCUGUGUGUAGUAUUGGAGUUUAAAUGAAGGGAUCUUUCUAUAUAAUUUUAGUGUUUUAAUACACGGGUGUGUUUGUAUGUAAUAUUUGCAUUUGAUUGCAGGGCUGUGUUUGGAUGUAAUGUCUUUUAAAUGGGAAUCAUUUAAACUAGAUCAACAACAGUCUGUUCUAGGGGAAUAUUUGACAGUAAGCUCCAGAAGCUCGGUAUGAGGGAGCCCAUGUAUAGUGCAAGGAGAUCCGUAUGAGGGAGCUUCUGUAUGUAUAGUGGAGGGAGCUCUGUAUGAUGGAGCUCUGUAUGUUAGUGCAGGGAGCUCUGUAUGAUGGAGCUCUGUAUGUAUAGUGCAGGGAGCUCUGUAUGGUGGAGCUCUGUAUGUAUAGUGCAGGGAGCUCUGUAUGGUGGAGCUCUGUAUGUAUAGUUGAAGAAGCUCUGUAUGUAUAGUGCAGGGAGCUCUGUAUGGUGGAGCUCUGUAUGUAUAGUGCAGGGAGCUCUGUAUAAUGGAGCUCUGUAUAUAUAGUGCAGGGAGCUCUGUAUGUAUAGUGCAGGGAGCUCUGUAUGUAUAGUUGAAGGAGCUCUGUAUGUAUAGUGCAGGGAGCUCUGUAUGAUGG
rnacentral:lncRNA from 1 species